rnacentral:rRNA from 1 species
CACGUAGGGUGCGAGCGUUGUCCGAAAUUAUUGGGCGUAAAGAGCUCGUAGGCGGUGUGUCGCGUCGGCCGUGAAAACCUGCAGCUUAACUGUGGGCUUGCGGUCGAUACGGGCAUCACUGGAGUUCGGCAGGGGAGACUGGAAUUCCUGGUGUAGCGGUGAAAUGCGCAGAUAUCAGGAGGAACACCGGUGGCGAAGGCGGGUCUCUGGGCCGAUACUGAUGCUGAGGAGCGAAAGCGUGGGGAGCGAACAGG